rnacentral:rRNA from 1 species
UACGUAGGGUGCAAGCGUUAAUCGGAAUUACUGGGCGUAAAGCGUGCGCAGGCGGUUGUGUAAGACAGAUGUGAAAUCCCCGGGCUCAACCUGGGAACUGCAUUUGUGACUGCACAGCUGGAGUGCGGCAGAGGGGGAUGGAAUUCCGCGUGCAGCAGUGAAAUGCGUAGAUAUGUGGAGGAACACCGAUGGCGAAGGCAGCCUCCUGGGCCAGCACUGACGCUCAUGCACGAGAGCGUGGGGAGCAAACAGG